GCCUGUUAUCCUUAACUUACUGAGUGAUAAAAUUCUGUGAUUUUUAGACUUCAAAAGUUGCCCUGCAUAGAGAUGACUCUGCUGUGAAAACAAAAUUAACCUGGGGCACAACUGAUCCUGGCCAAGCAGCGUUCACCUGGAAAUCAGGAGGAGAAUUAAAUGGUGCACAAGGUGUCUUUUUGCUGAUUCUUGCCAUGAUUAUGAAAAAAAAAAAAAAGCAGAGUGAUAUCCCAGAUCUCUCCUUCCAAGUAUGCCGCUAGUGCAAAUCCAAAGGAUGCUCAGGACCUCGUUCAAAAGUGUCUCACAAGGACACAUUUGAUGCUCCAGGAGAAGGAUUUUUUGAAUUUGCCUUUUUUAUCUGCUCCCAUGCUGUAAUCACUGCAGAAUUUAAAGAGCAUAUUCAUGUGAGAACACUUUAUUUCCUAAUUAGGGACAAUUGGUAUGUUCAGGUGAUUACUUUUCUGUGUCUGAGAAGAUACAAUCCUUCUCAGAUGGUCUGGUAUCAUGAACUUAGGUCAAAACAAAUGUUUUCUUUCACCGUUUCUUUCCCAUUUCAGUGCAUGUAAAUAAUAGCUAGGCUACAGUCAGUUUUAUUUUUAUAACAGACCUGUAAUCACAAUUCAACAAUCUAAAACAAUAAACAACUCUGUAACUACUGUUAACAGAAGAUGAGCAGCAGUAGAAUAAAUAGUUACAUAAGAAUUACUCCCAAUUAAUAAGUGUUGAAAAGUAUAGGUACAAAUACCCAUCCUCCUUUCCUGGCUGUUUAAGAGAUUUCUAAACCGAAAUAUAAGUCCAGAGCUCUCUACACAAGACCAAAUAUUAAGCUGCUCUACACUCCACACGUAAAGACCCUUUCCUAGUACAAGCAUGAGCAGGGUAUUGGGAUUUAGGCCACAUAAAUAUAAGCCCUUAACAGAAUUCUUUAAAGUGUCAGUUUUUAGUAUUUUGCAUUUUAAAAGUUCAAAGACUUUUUACACUAGGAUCAAAGUAUGGGAUUCAACCCCAAAUAUUUGAGUAUCAACACACAAGCAAGGUUUAGAACACAUCAAUGGAAUGAGUUUUGGCAAUAGGGCACUCACUCUGUGCUUAGGAGGCAUUUCAGAUUUCAUUUGACAUGCAAGGCAAUAAAUUUCUUUCAGUGCAUUUAUGUAACCGUAUUCUGCUCUUUGACACCUGGUGUAGUAAAAAUUCUUCCUGUGUAAAAAUUUGUAAAAUUAUGGAGUUUAGCUCUGAUUCCUCGGGAUACUUGUUCUAAGGUGACAAUUUUCUUAUUCU
rnacentral:lncRNA from 1 species